UACGGGGGAUGCAAGCGUUAUCCGGAAUUAUUGGGCGUAAAGCGCCUGUAGGUUGUUUAAUAAGUCUGUUGUUAAAGACUAGGGCUUAACCCUAGAAAAGCAAUGGAAACUACUAGACUAGAGUAUGGUAAGGAUAGAGGGAAUUUCUAGUGUAGCGGUGAAAUGCGUAGAUAUUAGAAAGAACACCAGUGGCGAAAGCGCUCUAUUAGGCCAUUACUGACACUCAGAGGCGAAAGCUAGGGUAGCAAAAGGGAUUAGAUACCCCUGUAGUCCUAGCCGUAAACGAUGGAUACUAGAUGUUGUAUAUAACUUACAGUAUCGUAGCUAACGCGUUAAGUAUCCCGCCUGGGGAGUACGCUCGCAAGGGUG
rnacentral:rRNA from 1 species